GCGCCCGUAGCUCAGCCUGGAUAGAGCAACUGGCUACGAACCAGUAGGUCGGAGGUUCGAAUCCUUCCGGGCGCGCCA
rnacentral:tRNA from 1 species